GCCUUAUAGGGUACACGGGUU
rnacentral:misc_RNA from 1 species